rnacentral:rRNA from 3 species
CCUAUUAUAUUGUAUCAAAAUAUAAAAAACUAUGCUUAUCCUUGGUGUAUUUGCAUAUUAAAUUUUGAUUUUAAUGGUUUUAUGAUAAUUUUACUUUGAAGCAUAAUUUUUUAUUUCAUAUCUAAAAGUAAAGAUUUUUUUAAAACUUACCUUUUGUAUUAGGGGUAAAAGAUUUCUUUACUUAAAUUUUUCCCGAAGAAAAAAGAUCUAUUCUGUUAAUAAAAAAUGUUGAAUUUGAAGAAAACUCGAUAGAUGUUAUAUGCUAACGCUUUUUUAUAUCUGGUUAUUUUAAUAUUUAAGGGGUUUAGCUCUUUUGAUUCACUUUAAUAUUAGAAUUAGGCUAUAUAAAUAAAAGUUUUUAAAAAGUGUAUUAACUACCCUUAUUUACUUUUUCAUUAGGUUUAUCUUAUGUUUAUUUAUUUGAUUAUUAUGAUUUUUAUAUUAGUAGAAAAGAAAAUUUACAUGUUUUAUUGUAUUAUAUUUUUAUUACUUUCUUUAAAAUUAGUAAAAACUUCAAAAGAAUGUUUACCAAAGUCUUUUCUAAGGAAUUCCUUAGAACCCCCUGCCCCAUGUAUUUUAAAUGGCCAUGGUAAUUUGACUAUGCUAAGGUAGCGAAAUCGUUAGUAUUUUUAUUGAAUUCCAGUAUGAUUGGGGCCACUCUUGAAUUUUUUUAUAGAAUUUUUAUUUGAACUUGUUUUUUAUUUGAAAAAUUUUUAAAGGAUUAAAAAAGACUAAAAGACCCUUGGAUUUUUAUAAAAACCUGCUAUUUUUUUGUAUACUACUUUUAAGGCAUGUUUCUAUUUUCUUGGGGCAAGAUUUUAUUUAAAUUUAAUUUAUUGUAUUUUAAAAACUAUUUUUUUACUGAAUGUAAAAAUACC